rnacentral:rRNA from 1 species
UACAGAGGUCUCAAGCGUUGUUCGGAUUCAUUGGGCGUAAAGGGUGCGUAGGCGGCGCGGUAAGUCGGGUGUGAAAUCUUGGAGCUUAACUCCGAAACUGCAUUCGAUACUGCCGUGCUUGAGGACUGGAGAGGAGACUGGAAUUUACGGUGUAGCGGUGAAAUGCGUAGAUAUCUGGAGGAACACCGGUGGCGAAGGCGGCAUCCUGGACCAACACUGACGCUGAGUGAGCGAAAGCCAGGGGAGCAAACGGG